UCCUGACUGACCGAUAGUGAACCAGUACCGUGAGGGAAAGGCGAAAAGAACCCCGGCGAGGGGAGUGAAAAAGAACCUGAAACCGUGUACGUACAAGCAGUGGGAGCCUCUUAAUGGGGUGACUGCGUACCUUUUGUAUAAUGGGUCAGCGACUUAUAUUCUGUAGCAAGGUUAACCGAAUAGGGGAGCCGAAGGGAAACCGAGUCUUAACUGGGCGUUAAGUUGCAGGGUAUAGACCCGAAACCCGGUGAUCUAGCCAUGGGCAGGUUGAAGGUUGGGUAACACUAACUGGAGGACCGAACCGACUAAUGUUGAAAAAUUAGCGGAUGACUUGUGGCUGGGGGUGAAAGGCCAAUCAAACCGGGAGAUAGCUGGUUCUCCCCGAAAGCUAUUUAGGUAGCGCCUCGUGAAUUCAUCUCCGGGGGUAGAGCACUGUUUCGGCAAGGGGGUCAUCCCGACUUACCAACCCGAUGCAAACUGCGAAUACCGGAGAAUGUUAUCACGGGAGACACACGGCGGGUGCUAACGUCCGUCGUGAAGAGGGAAACAACCCAGACCGCCAGCUAAGGUCCCAAAGUCAUGGUUAAGUGGGAAACGAUGUGGGAAGGCCCAGACAGCCAGGAUGUUGGCUUAGAAGCAGCCAUCAUUUAAAGAAAGCGUAAUAGCUCACUGGUCGAGUCGGCCUGCGCGGAAGAUGUAACGGGGCUAAACCAUGCACCGAAGCUGCGGCAGCGACACUAUGUGUUGUUGGGUAGGGGAGCGUUCUGUAAGCCUGUGAAGGUGGCCUGUGAGGGUUGCUGGAGGUAUCAGAAGUGCGAAUGCUGACAUAAGUAACGAUAAAGCGGGUGAAAAGCCCGCUCGCCGGAAGACCAAGGGUUCCUGUCCAACGUUAAUCGGGGCAGGGUGAGUCGACCCCUAAGGCGAGGCCGAAAGGCGUAGUCGAUGGGAAACAGGUUAAUAUUCCUGUACUUGGUGUUACUGCGAAGGGGGGACGGAGAAGGCUAUGUUGGCCGGGCGACGGUUGUCCCGGUUUAAGCGUGUAGGCUGGUUUUCCAGGCAAAUCCGGAAAACCAAGGCUGAGGCGUGAUGACGAAGCACUACGGUGCUGAAGCGACAAAUGCCCUGCUUCCAGGAAAAGCCUCUAAGCAUCAGGUAACAUCAAAUCGUACCCCAAACCGACACAGGUGGUCAGGUAGAGAAUACCAAGGCGCUUGAGAGAACUCGGGUGAAGGAACUAGGCAAAAUGGUGCCGUAACUUCGGGAGAAGGCACGCUGAUAUGUAGGUGAAGCGACUUGCUCGUGGAGCUGAAAUCAGUCGAAGAUACCAGCUGGCUGCAACUGUUUAUUAAAAACACAGCACUGUGCAAACACGAAAGUGGACGUAUACGGUGUGACGCCUGCCCGGUGCCGGAAGGUUAAUUGAUGGGGUUAGCGGCAACGCGAAGCUCUUGAUCGAAGCCCCGGUAAACGGCGGCCGUAACUAUAACGGUCCUAAGGUAGCGAAAUUCCUUGUCGGGUAAGUUCCGACCUGCACGAAUGGCGUAAUGAUGGCCAGGCUGUCUCCACCCGAGACUCAGUGAAAUUGAACUCGCUGUGAAGAUGCAGUGUACCCGCGGCAAGACGGAAAGACCCCGUGAACCUUUACUAUAGCUUGACACUGAACAUUGAGCCUUGAUGUGUAGGAUAGGUGGGAGGCUUUGAAGUGUGGACGCCAGUCUGCAUGGAGCCGACCUUGAAAUACCACCCUUUAAUGUUUGAUGUUCUAACGUUGGCCCGUAAUCCGGGUUGCGGACAGUGUCUGGUGGGUAGUUUGACUGGGGCGGUCUCCUCCUAAAGAGUAACGGAGGAGCACGAAGGUUGGCUAAUCCUGGUCGGACAUCAGGAGGUUAGUGCAAUGGCAUAAGCCAGCUUGACUGCGAGCGUGACGGCGCGAGCAGGUGCGAAAGCAGGUCAUAGUGAUCCGGUGGUUCUGAAUGGAAGGGCCAUCGCUCAACGGAUAAAAGGUACUCCGGGGAUAACAGGCUGAUACCGCCCAAGAGUUCAUAUCGACGGCGGUGUUUGGCACCUCGAUGUCGGCUCAUCACAUCCUGGGGCUGAAGUAGGUCCCAAGGGUAUGGCUGUUCGCCAUUUAAAGUGGUACGCGAGCUGGGUUUAGAACGUCGUGAGACAGUUCGGUCCCUAUCUGCCGUGGGCGCUGGAGAACUGAGGGGGGCUGCUCCUAGUACGAGAGGACCGGAGUGGACGCAUCACUGGUGUUCGGGUUGUCAUGCCAAUGGCACUGCCCGGUAGCUAAAUGCGGAAGAGAUAAGUGCUGAAAGCAUCUAAGCACGAAACUUGCCCCGAGAUGAGUUCUCCCUGAGACUUAGAGUCUCCUGAAGGAACGUUGAAGACGACGACGUUGAUAGGCCGGGUGUGUAAGCGCAGCGAUGCGUUGAGCUAACCGGUACUAAUGAACCGUGAGGCUUAACCUUACAACGCCGAAG
rnacentral:rRNA from 1 species